UGAGGAAUAUUGGUCAAUGUGCGAGAGCCUGAACCAGCCAAGUCGCGUGCAGGAAGACAGUCCUAAGGGUUGUAAACUUCUUUUAUACGGGAAUAACGGGCGAUACGAGUAUUGCAUGGAAUGUACCGUAAGAAUAAGCAUCGGCUAACUCCGUGCCAGCAGCCGCGGUAAUACGGAGGAUGCGAGCGUUAUCCGGAUUUAUUGGGUUUAAAGGGUGCGUAGGUUGUUCGGUAAGUCAGCGGUGAAACCUGAGCGCUCCACGUUCAGCCUGCCGUUGAAACUGCCGGGCUUGAGUUCAGUGGCGGCAGGCGGACUUCGUGGUGUCGCGGUGCAAUGCAUAGAUAUCACGAGGAACUCCGAUUGCGAAGGCAGCUUGCCAUACUGCGACUGACACUGACGCACGACGGCGUGUGUAUCAAACAGG
rnacentral:rRNA from 1 species